AAAGGGAGACCUAAUUCCAGUAGGAGACGAAAAAAAAGUAGUCCCUACCAAGAAUCAAUCCCAAAAGGUCGGAGCGAGGCAAAAUUGGCUUUCAAACUAGGUUCUGGGUUCACACAAGACCUGAAUCAGGAACAAGGGCUAUUAGCUCAGGUGGUUAGAGCGCACCCCUGAUAAGGGUGAGGUCCCUGGUUCGAGUCCAGGAUGGCCCACCUGCACAGGUGGAAGAAAGAAAAGAAGCUCCGAGUCAGCACCUUAUCUUACUUUUAUAGUAAGAGAGAAUGCUGGCUCUGAGUACAGAGUCCAGAGGAACCUUGAAAACUGCAUAGAGCUAGGUGAAAAAGCCAAAAAAGAAGACCGCAAG
rnacentral:tRNA from 1 species